rnacentral:rRNA from 1 species
CCGGAGCUAAUACCGAUAAUAUUUCGAACCGCAUGGUUCGAUAGUGAAAGAUGGUUUUGCUAUCACUUAUAGAUGGACCCGCGCCAUAUUAGCUAGUUGGUAAGGUAACGGCUUACCAAGGCGACGAUACGUAGCCGACCUGAGAGGGUGAUCGGCCACACUGGAACUGAGACACGGUCCAGACUCCUACGGGAGGCAGCAGGG